rnacentral:Y_RNA from 1 species
GGCUGUCCAAAAGCGGUGAGUUACCUGAACUGACUGCUGGAAGUCAGUUCCAAAUUCCUUGUUCAACACCCCACCCCUUCUCACUACAGCACUUGACUAGUCUUAA